rnacentral:lncRNA from 1 species
UGCAAAUGAAUAACAAUGUCGUAACCAGAAGCUUGGUGCUUAUAACAAGUAAAAAGCCGCCAUCACAAGGAAUAAAACGUGAUAAAUUAGACCAAUCUUGGAAGCCACACUGGCUGCACCAGUAGCUGGCGAAUAGCUUCCUUCAGGUGUGCCUGUUGUGAGAACAACUACUAUCCAGUCUCCAUCGGAACCAAUCCCAACUCCUGUAUACUUGGUGUCAUUGAGGUUAUCAUUAUACUGAGACUGUGUAAAGUUAGUGAGUACAAGAUUUGGAACUAGGUUAGGAACACAAGCAGGCAUUACUGCUCCAUCCCUUGUGUUGGAGACACAUUCAAAUGGCAUUUGGCCAGAAGGUUUGGGUAGUUGGCAAACUGCGGUUCAGUGCCUGGAACGGUGUUGGCACCGGUGGAGUUUGUGCAAGGUUGGUUCUUAAAUUGAUCUGCUAGUUCAUCAGCAAGGCACUCGGCAUUGUCAUUUUUCUUCAGAAUUGUCAAGUUCAAUGAAGCCCGGUAAUCGUUUAUGCCUUUAAGAAGAUUAUCCUCCUCAUCUGUAAAUGGUCAAGAAUAAAGUCGGUGAUUACAUAUAAUAUUUUACUGCCAUUUCGUAUUAGAAAGAAUAAACAAAAAAGUUCUAUUUUGGGUGUGAACCAAAAUGCAAAGAAGAUCGAUUUUCUUCGCCUCUUGAAACAAAAAGAAAAUCAUAGUUACAUGGCAGAAAAUUUCCAGCAAAAUAAGUUUAUAUCCUCCCAUGUAGCUAAAUUGCUGAACAGCUAAACAUCAGAAAGAUCCAGUACUGCAACUCAUGAAGUUACUCAAAAUUCAAACCAAGUAAUCCAUACAAAAGCCAAAUCUCAUCAGUCAGCUUAGGAUAUCAGAGAGAAAACAACAUUUUUAUUCAAAGGGGAAACCAUACAGGCUAAUAAAACCCAGAUUUCUAGCUAUAUGACUGCACUCUAGACCCUCCAAACAAAGUCAAUCUGAACCCGCAUCUAAUUCAAAUUUGAUGGCUCAUAUUAGCCAUAGUUAUGAUGGUCAGAGCUCAAGGUUAGGUUUAGGACUGUAAUACAGCUGAGUCAAAAAUCGGAUCCAGCUCAGUUAAGUACCAUUUUUUGAGAUAGAGCUUUGCUCUAGAUGAAAUCGAACUAUUUUUCAUACAGGAAGGACAACUAGAAAUCUGCAUUCUGCUGGAACAGUGAGUCCGAAAAUUCUAAGACAUAUUACAUGAAAAAUUAGGGAAGUGUUUACUUGGUGCACCAGUAGCUGGCGAAUAGCUUCCUUCAGGUGUGCCUGUUGUGAGAACAACUACUAUCCAGUCUCCAUCGGAACCAAUCCCAACUCCUGUAUACUUGGUGUCAUUGAGGUUAUCAUUAUACUGAGACUGUGUAAAGUUAGUGAGUACAAGAUUUGGAACUAGGUUAGGAACACAAGCAGGCAUUACUGCUCCAUCCCUUGUGUUGGAGACAUUCAAAUGGCAUUUGGCCAGAAGGUUUGGGUAGUUGGCAAACUGCGGUUCAGUGCCUGGAACGGUGUUGGCACCGGUGGAGUUUGUGCAAGGUUGGUUCUUAAAUUGAUCUGCUAGUUCAUCAGCAAGGCACUCGGCAUUGUCAUUUUUCUUCAGAAUUGUCAAGUUCAAUGAAGCCCGGUAAUCGUUUAUGCCUUUAAGAAGAUUAUCCUCCUCAUCUGUAAAUGGUCAAGAAUAAAGUCGGUGAUUACAUAUAAUAUUUUACUGCCAUUUCGUAUUAGAAAGAAUAAACAAAAAAGUUCUAUUUUGGGUGUGAACCAAAAUGCAAAGAAGAUCGAUUUUCUUCGCCUCUUGAAACAAAAAGAAAAUCAUAGUUACAUGGCAGAAAAUUUCCAGCAAAAUAAGUUUAUAUCCUCCCAUGUAGCUAAAUUGCUGAACAGCUAAACAUCAGAAAGAUCCAGUACUGCAACUCAUGAAGUUACUCAAAAUUCAAACCAAGUAAUCCAUACAAAAGCCAAAUCUCAUCAGUCAGCUUAGGAUAUCAGAGAGAAAACAACAUUUUUAUUCAAAGGGGAAACCAUACAGGCUAAUAAAACCCAGAUUUCUAGCUAUAUGACUGCACUCUAGACCCUCCAAACAAAGUCAAUCUGAACCCGCAUCUAAUUCAAAUUUGAUGGCUCAUAUUAGCCAUAGUUAUGAUGGUCAGAGCUCAAGGUUAGGUUUAGGACUGUAAUACAGCUGAGUCAAAAAUCGGAUCCAGCUCAGUUAAGUACCAUUUUUUGAGAUAGAGCUUUGCUCUAGAUGAAAUCGAACUAUUUUUCAUACAGGAAGGACAACUAGAAAUCUGCAUUCUGCUGGAACAGUGAGUCCGAAAAUUCUAAGACAUAUUACAUGAAAAAUUAGGGAAGUGUUUAGGUUUAGGGUUAACAAAAGGCGAAUCCAAAAUUCCAAGACAUAUUACUCCAAUUUGGGUGUGAGUAUUUCACGAAGAUUUUCAUGUACUUAAAGAGCUUUUGGUAGAACGUAUCUACGUACCCAUGUCCGGAAAUGCUUUAGAUAUAGAUACUUCAAGAGAAAAUAAGAGUCAGAGCAUGAUCUUCUCAACAAGAAACCAAAGAUACCAAAUAAGCAUUAUACAUGUAUAUGUUUAAG